UGAACAUGGAGGGCAGAAAUAUUCUGUAGCGGCCCUUAAAAGAUUUAUUUUUGAAAGAAAGUGACUCCUUAUGAAAAAUUUUAAGGCUGUAAGUCAAACAGAAAGGGGAAGGAACAACUUUCCAACCUGGAAAACAAGACUAUCCCAGAGGCCCUGAAUGCAAAGAGGAGCACUUACAGGUAAAUAGCACCACCUAGCGGUGGACAAAAAUACCUUUAAAUGUAAAAGCUCUGCAACCAAAAUCCUAUUAAACUAUAAAUACCGAGGUAUUAUAUACAUAAUGUGUCAUUUUUAAAGCAAAUAACCUGUGUGCCAAAAAUAUGAAAUAUUAGUAUAAACUGCAGCAUUACACUAAAAACCAUUGAUCUGUUUGUGUGUGAGUCAGUCAGGCCUUCUCAAAAUGCCUUGAGAUAAAUCAGAAGCAUCCUAAGGAAAGAAAAGAAAAAAGCAGCUCUGUAGCUCUUUUAUAGAAAGAUGUUGCUCUCACUAGGCAAACUCUGCCUAAACACAACAAUCUGACAGAAUCUUUAGUAUAUUUUUAUUUCACAUGAAGAAUAAAGCAGGAAUAAAGGGCCUCCAAAUAAUUACAGUACCUGCAGUUAGGUACUAACCAACACUGUCAAAACACAACAAAUGGGGUUUCAUCGCAUUCCUUUAUUUAUCCAACUACUCGCUGGUAGAAGAGUCAAAUGGUGUAGACAAGCUAUCAUUGUGUUACCACAAUGUGAGUACAAAAAUGAAAAAGAUUGAAUAUACCAGCAUAUAAAAACAUGUGAGUGUAUCUGUGCAACGUCUUCCUGACAUUUAGUUAUGCAGGCCAUUAAGGUACAUAUUUAUAAAAUAUAAAUUUCAUAAAUAUCUGCAAACAUAUACAGAUGCAUACGUAGAUGUAGUCAGUCCACCUAUAAAGUCUAAUUAGAGCUUGUUGGCUGACA